UACGUAGGGUCCGAGCGUUGUCCGGAAUUAUUGGGCGUAAAGAGCUCGUAGGCGGUUUGUCGCGUCUGCUGUGAAAACUGGAGGCUCAACCUCCAGCCUGCAGUGGGUACGGGCAAACUAGAGUGCGGUAGGGGAGAUUGGAAUUCCUGGUGUAGCGGUGGAAUGCGCAGAUAUCAGGAGGAACACCGAUGGCGAAGGCAGGUCUCUGGGCCACUACUGACGCUGAGAAGCGAAAGCAUGGGGAGCGAACAGG
rnacentral:rRNA from 1 species